rnacentral:lncRNA from 1 species
UUUGUUGACUAUAUUGAACUCAUCCAUGUCAUGGAAUUUGAUAUAAAGAAUACAACAGAUACAGUUAAAUCUGCCUCAUAUCUUGACUUACAUCUAGAAAUUGACAAUGAAGGUCGGUUGAAAACAAAACUUUACAACAUAAGAUGAGUUCAGUGCCCCAAUUGUUAUAUUUGUAACUUGUUUUUUGGAGGAAAAUUUCGGUUAUUGAUUUGGGAAUGUUCACCAGGACGCUGCCAAAUAGUGUCCAUUCAUUUUACAUGAAACCCUUUAACAAAACUUUUUAAGAUUUAGAUAUGUUGUUUCCUGUGAUUAAAUGAAGGUCAAGUUCAAUAUUCAUGAUUUUAGCUUUUCUCUUUGUAGAGUUGAAGCCCUUUCCCUAGAAUUCAAUUUUUGAUGAAAUACUUAUGAAUAAACUCAGGAGCAAACUUUGUAUUUUAAUACGACAGACACUAGUUUUGUCUACAAAAGAGUCAACAGUGACGCUUGAAAUCGAAAAAAAAUUAAAAAGGCC